rnacentral:lncRNA from 1 species
AGAGGCAAAGUUGCUAGGACAGCACUCAACAACACAGUGGCUUAGACAUUACAGGGUUUGUUUCUCACCUUCCUGAGGCCCAGUGACCCAGGCCAGCAGCACAGCCCUGCACUUUCAGGGUUACUCCAGUGUCCCCGGCAGUGGGGAAAGAGUGGAAUUUCAGUAAAGGGAUGUGCUUUCCAGCAGCUGACUAGGAAUUUGUUCAUCACUGCCAUUCCCAGUCCAUUGGCAGGGACUUAGUCCUGUGGGAGAUGGGCGACAUGGUCUCUUGCUGUGCAGCCUUGUGCCCAUGGGGAGGAGGGAUACCUUUGAAAGGAUUCUGGGUUAAAGAAAUCAUCCUGUUUUCUGCUGGUGCAUUUUCUCCCUUCAUGCUGUAUGGUUUCCCAAGCUGGUGAUACUCUUUCUCUAAUGGGAUUUCCUGAGUGUCUAGACGUUAGCAACUCAUCGAUGACGUGGAGUCUGAUGAAGCUACUUCCGUUUGCUUUGGGAUGAGAUGCUAGUUUGGUCCUGGAAGAGGCUUUCAAGAGCCAGUCCCACUGCUCAGGGGUUUGGAACUUGGGGGAAUUGCCUAGACAGUUGAGCAUUUCCCCAUUUGUAAAAUGGGAAUGUUAAGAUUGUUGUGCCGACCUCUCAGGGUCUGAGGAUCAGAAGCAAUAUGUGAAGCAGGACUGUGAGUGGCAGCCAUUCUACAAACACAGGGCUUGAGUGGAAGAAGGGUUUCUUCCCAAAUUCUGUAGUUAGGGGCCACCACUCCUCUUCCUCUCUCCCAGGAGACUGGGAAGCAUGGGAUGGUUGAAAGCUGGGUAAGCCAAAUGUUUGUAUACCUCUCCCCUUGAAUAUGGACUACAAAUGUGGGUUCAGUAAAUUCAGAUUCAACUAGACAUUGAUCACCAGGGUGUGCCAAGAGCCGUGCAAGGCAGAUUCACAUAUAAAAUGUCAGGAGAUGAUUGUCAUUAUCCUUAAUUAGGUAACCAGGGCUUGGGGAAGCUGUGUCCCCAUGGCCUCACAGGAGGUAGAACCAAGUUAAGGUUUUACACAAGUCCUGUCUGUGUUCUUUCAAAUCUCAUGGAGUGGGCUCUGGUUCUUCCUGGCUAUCCAUAUUUCCUCUUCAUUUCAUUUGAAAUACUUACCAAUUGCACAGCUCCCUUAGGUACUCCGGGCAGCAUUAAUAGAUGUGCAAAUAGGUUUGUGUUCACUAGUUUAUGCUUAAUGUAUGCAAGUAAUUGUUUUCCCCAUUUUUGAAAAUAGGUUUUGAAAUAGGUCUUAUCUAUAUUUAAUCUUGUUAUUUUUCUGUUUGUUUAUUGUGGUAACAUUGGUUUAUAACAUAUAAAUUUCCGGUAUACAUCGUAAUAUAUUUCUAAUUCUGUGUAGAUUACAUCAUAUUCACCACCCAAAGACUAAUUACAAUCCAUCAUCACACACAUGUACCUAAUCCCCCCUUUUGCCCUCCUGCCUCCCCCCUUUCCCUCUGAUAACCACCAAUUCAAUCUCUGUCUCUAUGAGAUUGUUUGACAUUGUUUUUAUCUUCUACUUAGGAGAGAGAUCAUACGGUAUUUGACUUUGUCCUUCUGACUUAUUUCACUUACCAUAAUACCGUCAUGGUCCAUCCAUGUUGUUACACAUGACCGGAUUUCAUCAUUUCUUAUGGCUGAAUAGUAUUCCAUUGUGUGUAAGUACCACAUCAUUAUCCAUUCGUCCUUGAUGGGCACCUAGGUUGCCUCCAAGUCUUGGCUGUUGUGAAUAAUGCUGCAAUGAACAUAGGGGUGCAUGUAUCUUUAUGCAUUCGUAUUUUCAUGUUCUUUGGAUAAAUACCCAGCAUUGGAAUAGCUGGAUCAUAAUCUUGGCUUUGUAUCACUCACAGUCUUUACUUAGACCUUGGAUGUAGGUUUCUACCAUGUAGCUCUUCCAUGGAAUUGAAGUUCACUGGGUAAAAAUUGAAGUCCUAGUGAGAUUGGCUUUGUAAUACCUUUUUCAUAACUAGAUGUUUCUAGCACUUGUUUUCUAAUAAGGACAAAAUAUUUCAUCAGUAUGGUAAUUAACAUUUUUAAAGUUUCUGUUAUUUGCCCGGUGAUAGGGAAGUGUUUCACACAAAUUAAAAUCAUCCUCACAGUGGCUGAAAGAUGGGAGUUUUAAUGGGUUAAUUCUUUUAAGAUUUCACAAUGGGUAAGUAGCAGCUGGCUCCAAAGCUGUAGAGCAUGCAAACAGGGAUUUAAAAAACUGCACUUUUGCUAAUGGUGCAUCCAGGUUGUGACUUUCCCAGAAGUUUUCCAACAGAUCGGAGAGGAAUCAAAUUCUUAAUUUCAGUGCACUAUUUAAUUCUGUCGAGAGACUGCUGGCUCGGUUGUCAGCUUGAGCUGGAGUGAUGGCAUGUCGAACUCUCCACUCUGCUGUGGAUCCAUGGAUUGAUUGCUUCUCAAGGACAUCUUCUCUUCACUUGGCAAUGAAAUCCUCAGAUCACCGCAGUUUCAGGCUUCCCGCAACAAGACGAAGCUUGUGUGAGGGUCAGUUCUGACCCAGUGAGUUUACUCCCCAGCCUUUUGAAGCUUUUUGGCUACGUGUUUUAUCCUAGCACUUAAACAGUUACAUGAUUUGGUCUCCAUUGGGUUCAGAUUACUAGGGAAGUUGUUCUCAAACUUUAGUCUGCAUCAGGGGCCGGCCCGGUGGCACAGCGGUUAAGUGCACACGUUCCGCUUCGGCGGCCCGGGGUUCACUGGUUCAGAUCCUGGGUGCGGACAUGGCACCUCUUGGCAGGCCGUGCUGUGGUAGGCGUCCUACAUAUAAAGUAGAGGAAGAUGGGCACGGAUGUUAUCUCAGGGCCAGUCUUCCUCAGCAAGAAGACGAGGAUUGGUGGCAGAUGUUAGCUCAGAGCUAAUCUUCCUCACACACAAAAACAACCGUUAGUCUGCAUCCGAAUCACCAGGAAGACCAGUUAAAAAUUCAGAUUUCUGGGCCCCAGUCUCGAGUUUUUGAUGCAGGAGGUCAGGGUGGGACCCAAGAAUUUGCAUUUCUUUACCAAGUUCCCCGUGGAUCCUGAGCCUGCUGAUCUGAAGACCACACUUGAAAACAGCUAAUCAAGAGCGAUCACCUCUACAGUAGGGCUGCCAAUGUGUUCAGAAACUUGUAGAGUAUGUUUGUAUUCUCUUAAAAAGGGAACAGUCCCACAUUUUAGGCUUUGGGGCUGAGGAUUAAAAAUAAAGUGACAAUGAAGUGCAAGAGGCAAA